GAUCCUGGCUCAGGGUGAGCGCUAGCUACAGGCUUAACACAUGCAAGUCGAGGGGCAGCAUGACCUAGCAAUAGGUUGAUGGCGACCGGCGCACGGGUGAGUAACACGUAUCCAACCUACCGGUUAUUCCGGGAUAGCCUUUCGAAAGAAAGAUUAAUACCGGAUAGUAUAACGAGAAGGCAUCUUCUUGUUAUUAAAGAAUUUCGAUAACCGAUGGGGAUGCGUUCCAUUAGUUUGUUGGCGGGGUAACGGCCCACCAAG
rnacentral:rRNA from 1 species